AUUGAACGCUGGCGGCAGGCCUAACACAUGCAAGUCGAGCGGAUGAAGGGAGCUUGCUCCUGGAUUCAGCGGCGGACGGGUGAGUAAUGCCUAGGAAUCUGCCUGGUAGUGGGGGAUAACGUCCGGAAACGGGCGCUAAUACCGCAUACGUCCUGAGGGAGAAAGUGGGGGAUCUUCGGACCUCACGCUAUCAGAUGAGCCUAGGUCGGAUUAGCUAGUUGGUGGGGUAAAGGCCUACCAAGGCGACGAUCCGUAACUGGUCUGAGAGGAUGAUCAGUCACACUGGAACUGAGACACGGUCCAGACUCCUACGGGAGGCAGCAGUGGGGAAUAUUAGACAAUGGGCGAAAGCCUGAUCCAGCCAUGCCGCGUGUGUGAAGAAGGUCUUCGGAUUGUAAAGCACUUUAAGUUGGGAGGAGGGGCAGUAAGUUAAUACCUUGCUGUUUUGACGUUACCAACAGAAUAAGCACCGGCUAACUUCGU
rnacentral:rRNA from 1 species